AUGGAUGACGAUGGGCUUCCUCUCAUGGGGUCAGGCAUGACCUGACCAAGGUGCCAACUCUUCAACAGAAAAGAACGGUGGCUUUUCUAAACCAAUUUGUGGUGCACACUGUAGAGUUCCUCAACUGCUUUUCUACGGUUUGUGAGGAGAAACUGGCAGACCUUUGUCUUUGUAUCCAACAAAUUGAAACAACUCUCAACAUUUUAGACACAAAGUUGUCAUCUGUCUCUGACCUAGAUGAUGUCACAGUUGAAGUAUCUCCUUUAAGUGUCACUAGUGUCACAAAUGGACUUCGGCACAUUCUGAAGCCACUUCAGAGCAGUUACAGAACAGUACACAAGACUCUGGACCCCAGGAAAGUGAGGGAUCAGCAGGAAAUAGCUUAACUGUAGCCAAGGAUCCAAGAUAUGCCAGAAAUCUCAAAAUAGCUCAAGUAGGUGUACCAGCAAUGGCAAUCAAAAACAAAAUUAGGCCAGGCAUGGACUAGUCCCAGACCUUCCUGAGAGGCCAGAUGCUCCAGUGCCUGAUGGUGAAAGUGAAAAAUUAUAGAAGAAAGUUCAGAUAGUGAAUCUUCUUUUAGUAACUAA
rnacentral:lncRNA from 1 species